rnacentral:tRNA from 3 species
GCCGGGUUAGCUCAGUUGGUAGAGCGUCAUACUUGUAAUGUGAAUGUCAGGAGUUCGAUUCUCCUACCCGGCUCCA